GCCAUACUGGACCAUUUCCAAGGCCUCCCACCCACUGCGCUUUGUUGUCUCGGACGGUGGGAAGCGGGGAGGACAGGCUGCCACUAAGAGGCUCCCGGUGGGCUCUGAAAUUCCAGACGGAGCCAAGCCCUAUCUUGAGGCCACCGGCUCUCCAAGAUGGCACUGACUGAUGGCGUACUGUAGCCGAGCUUGAUGUUCAUCUUGAUCCACGACUUCUAAAUCACCUGUGAAAAUAAACACUGCUCCAAGAACCAGGGGUUGAAACGAAAUCCGCAGGGCCUGGGAGAUACCGGCAAGCAGGCUGAUGAACUGGCGGCAUUGGGAAAACUGGGAGGAGGCUUUACGAACUCCGCUGCCUAAAAGAGACGCUCAAGACUGAGGGGGUCUUGAAAACGCCUUAGAAGGCUGACUUGAAGUUGUAGGCGAGUCUUGCAGAGCCUGCCCUUGCUGAUUAGAACUCGGACCCCCCUCCUUCGCUUGCUUGCUGGGCUACAGCUACGCGAGACGUGAGUGUCUGGUCUUCGGCUCGUCGUCGCCUGAUCUAAAGAACUCGGGCUCUGGGCCGACAGGAGGAGGACAGCGUUGAGGAAACCCUGAAAGCCACAGGAUGGAGGCUUUUCUCCUUCUGGCUCGGCGGCCCUUCCUUCCUCAGAGGCUGGCCCAGUCCGAGCUCCCUUCUGUGGGGGUGAGGGAGGGGGAAGCGCUGAAAUAAAAUGUAUAAUUGUGCUCCAA